rnacentral:rRNA from 1 species
GGUUAAGCGAACAAGCGUACACGGUGGAUGCCCUGGCAGUCAGAGGCGAUGAAGGACGUGCUAAUCUGCGAAAAGCGCCGGUAAGGUGAUAUGAACCGUUAUAACCGGCGAUGUCCGAAUGGGGAAACCCGGUGCACUUCGGUGCAUCAUCGUUAGCUGAAUACAUAGGCUAACGAGGCGAACCGGGGGAACUGAAACAUCUAAGUACCCCGAGGAAAAGAAAUCAACCGAGAUUCCCCCAGUAGCGGCGAGCGAACGGGGAACAGCCCAGAGCCUGAAUCAGCUUGUGUGUCAGUGGAACGGUCUGGAAAGGCCGGCGAUACAGGGUGACAGCCCCGUACACGAAGGCACACAGGCUGUGAGCUCGAUGAGUAGGGCGGGACACGUGAUAUCCUGUCUGAAGAUGGGGGGACCAUCCUCCAAGGCUAAAUACUCCUGACUGACCGAUAGUGAACCAGUACCGUGAGGGAAAGGCGAAAAGAACCCCGGCGAGGGGAGUGAAACAGAACCUGAAACCGUGUACGUACAAGCAGUGGGAGCCUUCGUAAGAGGGUGACUGCGUACCUUUUGUAUAAUGGGUCAGCGACUUAUAUUCUGUAGCAAGGUUAACCGUAUAGGGGAGCCGAAGGGAAACCGAGUCUUAAUUGGGCGUUAAGUUGCAGGGUAUAGACCCGAAACCCGGUGAUCUAGCCAUGGGCAGGUUGAAGGUUGGGUAACACUAACUGGAGGACCGAACCGACUAAUGUUGAAAAAUUAGCGGAUGACCUGUGGCUGGGGGUGAAAGGCCAAUCAAACCGGGAGAUAGCUGGUUCUCCCCGAAAGCUAUUUAGGUAGCGCCUCGUGAACUCAUCUCCGGGGGUAGAGCACUGUUUCGGCUAGGGGGCCAUCCCGGCUUACCAACCCGAUGCAAACUGCGAAUACCGGAGAAUGUUAUCACGGGAGACACACGGCGGGUGCUAACGUCCGUCGUGAAGAGGGAAACAACCCAGACCGCCAGCUAAGGUCCCAAAGUCAUGGUUAAGUGGGAAACGAUGUGGGAAGGCCCAGACAGCCAGGAUGUUGGCUUAGAAGCAGCCAUCAUUUAAAGAAAGCGUAAUAGCUCACUGGUCGAGUCGGCCUGCGCGGAAGAUGUAACGGGGCUAAACCAUGCACCGAAGCUGCGGCAGCGACGCUUAUGCGUUGUUGGGUAGGGGAGCGUUCUGUAAGCCUGUGAAGGUGUGCUGUGAGGCAUGCUGGAGGUAUCAGAAGUGCGAAUGCUGACAUAAGUAACGAUAAAGCGGGUGAAAAGCCCGCUCGCCGGAAGACCAAGGGUUCCUGUCCAACGUUAAUCGGGGCAGGGUGAGUCGACCCCUAAGGCGAGGCCGAAAGGCGUAGUCGAUGGGAAACAGGUUAAUAUUCCUGUACUUGGUGUUACUGCGAAGGGGGGACGGAGAAGGCUAUGUCAGCCGGGCGACGGUUGUCCCGGUUUAAGCGUGUAGGCUGACUUUCCAGGCAAAUCCGGAGAGUUAAGGCUGAGGCGUGAUGACGAGGCACCACGGUGCUGAAGUGACAAAUGCCCUGCUUCCAGGAAAAGCCUCUAAGCAUCAGGUAACAUCAAAUCGUACCCCAAACCGACACAGGUGGUCAGGUAGAGAAUACCAAGGCGCUUGAGAGAACUCGGGUGAAGGAACUAGGCAAAAUGGUGCCGUAACUUCGGGAGAAGGCACGCUGACAUGUAGGUGAAGCCCCUGCGGGUGGAGCUGAAGUCAGUCGAAGAUACCAGCUGGCUGCAACUGUUUAUUAAAAACACAGCACUGUGCAAACACGAAAGUGGACGUAUACGGUGUGACGCCUGCCCGGUGCCGGAAGGUUAAUUGAUGGGGUUAUCGCAAGAGAAGCUCCUGAUCGAAGCCCCGGUAAACGGCGGCCGUAACUAUAACGGUCCUAAGGUAGCGAAAUUCCUUGUCGGGUAAGUUCCGACCUGCACGAAUGGCGUAAUGAUGGCCAGGCUGUCUCCACCCGAGACUCAGUGAAAUUGAACUCGCUGUGAAGAUGCAGUGUACCCGCGGCAAGACGGAAAGACCCCGUGAACCUUUACUACAGCUUGACACUGAACAUUGAGCCUUGAUGUGUAGGAUAGGUGGGAGGCUUUGAAGCGUGGACGCCAGUCUGCGUGGAGCCAACCUUGAAAUACCACCCUUUAAUGUUUGAUGUUCUAACCUGGCGCCGUGAUCCGGCGUGGGGACAGUGUCUGGUGGGUAGUUUGACUGGGGCGGUCUCCUCCCAAAGUGUAACGGAGGAGCACGAAGGUCAGCUAAUCCUGGUCGGACAUCAGGAGGUUAGUGCAAUGGCAUAAGCUGGCUUGACUGCGAGAGUGACGGCUCGAGCAGGUGCGAAAGCAGGUCAUAGUGAUCCGGUGGUUCUGUAUGGAAGGGCCAUCGCUCAACGGAUAAAAGGUACUCCGGGGAUAACAGGCUGAUACCGCCCAAGAGUUCAUAUCGACGGCGGUGUUUGGCACCUCGAUGUCGGCUCAUCACAUCCUGGGGCUGAAGUAGGUCCCAAGGGUAUGGCUGUUCGCCAUUUAAAGUGGUACGCGAGCUGGGUUUAGAACGUCGUGAGACAGUUCGGUCCCUAUCUGCCGUGGGCGCUGGAGAAUUGAGGGGGGCUGCUCCCAGUACGAGAGGACCGGAGUGGACGCAUCACUGGUGUUCGGGUUGUCAUGCCAAUGGCACUGCCCGGUAGCUAAAUGCGGAAGAGAUAAGUGCUGAAAGCAUCUAAGCACGAAACUUGCCCCGAGAUGAGUUCUCCCUGAGACUUUAAGUCUCCUGAAGGAACGUUGAAGACGACGACGUUGAUAGGCCGGGUGUGUAAGCGCAGCGAUGCGUUGAGCUAACCGGUACUAAUGAACCGUGAGGCUUAACCUU